rnacentral:rRNA from 1 species
GACAGAGGGUGCAAACGUUGUUCGGAAUUACUGGGCGUAAAGCGCGUGUAGGCUGCCCCGAAAGUCAGGUGUGAAAGCCCCUGGGCUCAACCCAGGAAGUGCACUUGAAACUUCGGUGGCUUGAGUUCUGGAGAGGAUGGCGGAAUUCUCGGUGUAGAGGUGAAAUUCGUAGAUAUCAGGAAGAACACCCGUGGCGAAGGCGGCUCUCUGGGACGGUACUGACGCUGAGACGCGAAAGCGUGGGGAGCGAACAGG